UCCUCAUUGGUCUAGUGGUUAUGAUUUCCGCUUGUCAUACACGUCAAGCGCGGGAGACCAGGGUUCGAUUCCCUGAUGGGGAG